ACGAAGGUCCCAAGCGUUGUUCGGAAUCAUUGGGCGUAAAGCGAGUGCGGGUGGCUUUUUAAGUCAGGAGUGAAAGCCCAGGGCUCAACCCUGGAAGUGCUUUUGAUACUGGAAAGCUUGAAUGUGGCAGAGGGUGCUAGAAUACCUAGUGUAGUGGUGAAAUACGUAGAUAUUAGGUGGAACACCGGUGGCGAAGGCGGGCACCUGGGCCAACAUUGACACUUAGACUCGAAAGCGUGGGGAUCAAACAGGAUUAGAUACCCUGGUAGUCCACGCCGUAAACGAUGGAUACUUGGUGUUGGAGGUAUUGACCCCUUCAGUGCCGAAGCUAACGCGUUAAGUAUCCCGCCUGGGAAGUACGGUCGCAAGAUUA
rnacentral:rRNA from 1 species